rnacentral:rRNA from 1 species
UAAUACCAGCGGUUCGAGUCGCAGCCAUAUUUAUUGGGUCUAAAACAUCCGUAGCUUGCUUUGUAAGUCUCUUGUGAAAUUCCUUAUCUCAAGUAAGGAGCGAGCAGGAGAUACUGCAUCGCUAGAGACCGGAAGGCGUAAGGAGUGCGUAAGGGGUAUCGGUAAAAUGAGUUGAUCCUUUAUGGACUAACGAUAGCGAAGGCACCUUACGAGUACGGAUCUGACAGUAAGGGAUGAAGGCUAGGGUCGCGAAAAGGAUUAGAUACCCUUGUAGUCCUAGCAGUAAACACUGCACACUAAACAUCAGUACCUCCUCGAGAGGCAUUGGUGCUGCAGGGAAGCCGAAGAGUGUGCUACCUGGGAAGUAUAGUCGCAAGGCCG